rnacentral:tRNA from 1 species
UGGCUCAGUGGUAAGAGUAUCUGGCUAGCAUGCAGGAGGCCUGGGUUCAUUUCCCAG